AGUCGUUGGGGCAAGAGUUGAGGAUCAACGAUGCGACCGCCGAUUUGACCACUUUUCAGCAGCAUGGAAACCGUGCUUUAGCUUCUAAGGACAUGAGGAAAUCCCACGACAGAGGGAUGUCUCACUCUGAUGAGUCUCGCCUGUCCAACCUCCUGCGCCGUGUGUCCCGUGAGGAGGACAGGGACCGCCGGCUGGCCACUGUCAGACAGCUCCGGGAGUUCAUCACUCACUCUGACAACAAAGUGGCCCUGGUGAAACAGUUGGAUACGAUCCUCAGUACCCUGAAUGAUAUUUUGAAUGAAAGGUAAGAGGAAGUUCCCCAUCAGAGCCAAAGAGUCUCCAUCUGAAAUGGCACCCUGUUCCCUGCGCCCUGUUCCCUG